UACGUAGGGGGCUAGCGUUGUCCGGAUUCAUUGGGCGUAAAGAGCGUGUAGGCGGCCAGGUAGGUCCGACGUGAAAACUGGAGGCUCAACCUCCAGCUGUCGUCGGAAACCCUCUGGCUAGAGUCCGGAAGAGGAGAGCGGAAUUCCUGGUGUAGCGGUGAAAUGCGCAGAUAUCUGGAGGAACACCGGUGGCGAAGGCGGCAUCCUGGACCAACAUUGACGCUGAGGAGCGAAAGCCAGGGGAGCAAACGGG
rnacentral:rRNA from 1 species